rnacentral:rRNA from 1 species
CCCUACGGGGGGCAGCAGUGAGGAAUAUUGGUCAAUGGUCGGGAGACUGAACCAGCCAAGCCGCGUGAGGGAUGAAGGUACAGAGUAUCGUAAACCUCUUUUGUCAGGGAACAAAGGCGGGGACGCGUCCCCGGAUGAGUGUACCUGAAGAAAAAGCAUCGGCUAACUCCGUGCCAGCAGCCGCGGUAAUACGGAGGAUGCGAGCGUUAUCCGGAUUUAUUGGGUUUAAAGGGGGCGCAGGCGGUCGGUUAAGUCAGCGGUAAAAGCCCGGGGCUCAACCCCGGCCCGCCGUUGAAACUGGCAGG